CCUACGGGUGGCUGCAGUGAGGAAUAUUGGUCAAUGGGCGCGAGCCUGAACCAGCCAAGUCGCGUGAGGGAGGACGGCCCUACGGGUUGUAAACCUCUUUUGCCGGGGGGCAACGGGCGUCACGUGUGGCGCCCCUGAGAGUACCCGGAGAAAAAGCAUCGGCUAACUCCGUGCCAGCAGCCGCGGUAAUACGGAGGCUGCGAGCGUUAUCCGGAUUUAUUGGGUUUAAAGGGUGCGUAGGCGGAGCGUUAAGUAGGUGGUAAAAUUGAGGGGCUCAACCCCUUCCCGCCAUUGAAACUGGCGUUCUUGAGUGGAAGAGAGGUAUGCGGAAUGCGUGGUGUAGCGGUGAAAUGCAUAGAUAUCACGCAGAACCCCGAUUGCGAAGGCAGCAUGCCGGCUUCCGACUGACGCUGAAGCACGAAAGCGUGGGGAUCGAACAGGAUUAGAUACCCCUGUAGUC
rnacentral:rRNA from 1 species